UCGCUUAUAUCCGAUACUCAUCUGUUUUCAGAAAUCUUUAUAUCGUUGGAAAGCUAACUCGAUAAACUUCGCAUAGAAACUUCGACGAGCAGAUUCCGGUAUAAAUAAAGUUGAUUCCUAUACACAUAUAAUUAAACUAUACACUUGAAACCAUCUCAAAAUAAUCAAUACUCAUACUUAAACUCAUAUAUACCUAACUUAUGAUCAAUACAUAUACUCCAACACAUAUAACCAUGGCUAAUGCACGUAAUUAAGUACGGGGUGUUACA
rnacentral:lncRNA from 1 species